rnacentral:rRNA from 1 species
AACGAACGCUGGCGGCAGGCUUAACACAUGCAAGUCGAACGCUCCGCAAGGAGAGUGGCAGACGGGUGAGUAACACGUGGGAACGUACCCUUUACUACGGAACAACUCCGGGAGACUGGAGCUAAUACCGUAUGUGCCCUUUGGGGGAAAGAUUUAUCGCCAUUGGAGCGGCCCGCGUCUGGUUAGCUAGUUGGUGAGGUAAAGGCUCACCAAGGCGACGAUCAGUAGCUGGUCUGAGAGGAUGAUCAGCCACAUUGGGACUGAGACACGGCCCAAACUCCUACGGGAGGCAGCAGUGGGGAAUCUUGCGCAAUGGGCGAAAGCCUGACGCAGCCAUGCCGCGUGAAUGAUGAAGGUCUUAGGAUUGUAAAAUUCUUUCACCGGGGACGAUAAUGACGGUACCCGGAGAAGAAGCCCCGGCUAACUUCGUGCCAGCCGCCGCCGUAACAC